UACGGGGGGGGGUAAGCGUUGUUCGGAAUUACUGGGCGUAAAGGGCUCGUAGGCGGCCAACUAAGUCAGACGUGAAAUCCCUCAGCUUAACUGGGGAACUGCGUCUGAUACUGGAUGGCUUGGAUUCGGGAGAGGAAUGCGGAAUUCCAGGUGUAGCGGUGAAAUGCGUAGAUAUCGAGAGGAACACCUGCGGCGAAGGCGGGUUGCUGGGCUGACACUGACGCUGAUGCGCGAAAGCCAGGGGAGCGAACGGG
rnacentral:rRNA from 1 species